CCUACGGGAGGCAGCAGUGGGGAAUUUUGGACAAUGGGCGCAAGCCUGAUCCAGCAAUGCCGCGUGAGUGAAGAAGGCCUUCGGGUUGUAAAGCUCUUUUGUCAGGGAAGAAACGGUGGGGGCUAAUAUCCUUUGCUAAUGACGGUACCUGAAGAAUAAGCACCGGCUAACUACGUGCCAGCAGCCGCGGUAAUACGUAGGGUGCAAGCGUUAAUCGGAAUUACUGGGCGUAAAGCGUGCGCAGGCGGUUUUGUAAGUCUGUCGUGAAAUCCCCGGGCUCAACCUGGGAAUUGCGAUGGAGACUGCAAGGCUAGAAUCUGGCAGAGGGGGGUAGAAUUCCACGUGUAGCAGUGAAAUGCGUAGAGAUGUGGAGGAACACCGAUGGCGAAGGCAGCCCCCUGGGUCAAGAUUGACGCUCAUGCACGAAAGCGUGGGGAGCAAACAGGAUUAGAUACCCUGGUAGUCCACGCCCUAAACGAUGUCUACUAGUUGUACGGUUUUAAUUAACGUUGGUAACGCAGCUACGCGUGAGUAGACCGCCGUCGGUAGGUACGGUACGCGAGAAGUAAACGUAACGAAGUAAGUAGUAGUACGCGNGACGAGCGACGACGACGACGACGGAGGAGGAGG
rnacentral:rRNA from 1 species